rnacentral:lncRNA from 1 species
CCUCCUGAUCCAUUCAUUGGCCUAAGUUUGAUGCCACAUUGAUUCCAUCCACAAACUACUAACUGGAUAUGCAAAAUGAAUACAAUGUUGGAGGAGGAAGAAAACUUGGAAGAAAAUGAUAGUUUUUUUGGCAGAAUUGGUAUUCCAAACUGGAAGAGGUUCUCUGUAUUUAAUUUCCUCUCCGUAAGUUUACCUUCAGAAGUCCAAGUGUGA